rnacentral:rRNA from 1 species
AGCAGCCGCGGUAAUUCCAGCUCCAAUAGCGUAUAUUAAAGUUGUUGCAGUUAAAAAGCUCGUAGUUGAAUUUCGGGAUUGACGUGAUGGUCGUGCCUUAAGGGGUAUGAACUGUCGCAGUUGAUUUCUCACCUUCUGGAGAAGCUUGAUGUCCUUAAUUGGGUGUCAUGUGGAACCAGGACCUUUACCUUGAAAAAAUUAGAGUGUUUAAAGCAGGCAUUUUGCUCGAAUACAUUAGCAUGGAAUAAUAGAAUAGGACGGCAUGGUUCUAUUUUGUUGGUUUCUAGGAUCACCGUAAUGAUUAAUAGGGAUAGUUGGGGGCAUUAGUAUUCAAUUGUCAGAGGUGAAAUUCUUGGAUUUAUUGAAGACUAACUACUGCGAAAGCAUUUGCCAAGGAUGUUUUCAUUAAUCAAGAACGAAAGUUAGGGGAUCG